GGGCCCGUGGCGCAGUUCGGAUAGCGCGGCGACAACUGCAAGGUUGCCGUAGGCCUCCUAAGCCGUUGGUCGGGGGUUCAAAUCCCCCCGGGCCCG
rnacentral:tRNA from 3 species